CCUCCCCACCGUGCGGCCGGCACCUGUGACGUCACAGCCAGCACCAGCUGACGGCGGGAGGAGGAAGAGGCGGCGGGGCGGGCCACGCUUUUUUAAAGAAGGAGGCGGGGCCGCCUCAAUGGGGCGUUGUAAGAAACCUGGGGCUCGGGAUAAAUCCAAAGUGGUUGCCUUCAGGCUGCUUGAUUUUUAACGUAGUCGAGAUGGGCUGUCCUUCAGCCUUCAGGAAGCAAAGACUGCUUGCCACCUGCGCUGGUUAUCAGCAGUGCCUGUGUGUGAUCACCUGGCGCUGUGCAUUGACAAAGUUCUCUGCCAUUAAGCAGGGGGUGUUUUUGUGAGAGGACGUUUCCAUGUGGAAGCGGACGCUCUGUAACUCAGGGAUAACGAGCCAAUGUGUGGUAGUUCACAAAGGUGUUUUCUCACCUCAUCCUGCAAAGAGCCUCACAUUUCCAUUUUAAUUGGGGAACUUGUAUUCAUCACUGAUGAUCCAGCUCAAUAUCUGCCAAAAUCAAAUUUUCAGCAAAUUGCAAAUCAGUCCAAGACACCUAGAGGUAUAAAAAAUACCUGGAAAGACCUAAGCAAAGCAACACAGUGUGCAGAUAACUAAAAUUGACCAAUGGUGCAGUGAUGUAAGAGGUGUCCCCUACAACACUUAUGAUAUUUUUCCUUCUCGUCCUGCUUGAAUGAUGUUAUUGCCUUACAAUUUUUUUUCUAAAUCUAAUUUUUUGAAUUAAAGAAGAAGAAUGGCAAUCUGAGUAUCACAAAAUGAAACAUACCUACUGUGUUAUAUAUGAAAAUUUUUAUUUUGUAGUUUGCAGCUACAGUAGAAAAUGUUCUGGUUUUGUUUUUGUUUUUGUUUUUGUUUUUUUUGUUGUUGUUAAUUCAUUUCUGCAUUCCUGAAAAUACUACGAUCUGACUUUCACUGAUCUUAUGCAAACAUACUUGUUUUGUCAGGAGUUAAAAGCUGUCCAUAUGCCUAUUGCCUUCUAUCUGAAAUCUGGCUGAGCAGUGAACUGAGCAAGAAAAAACAAUAUAUUGAAAUAUCUGUUUCACAGCCAUGAACAUCUGUCUCCUCUUCAAAAG
rnacentral:lncRNA from 1 species